UACGUAGGGACCAAGCGUUGUUCGGAUUUACUGGGCGUAAAGAGCUCGUAGGCGGUUUGGCAAGUCGGGUGUGAAAACUCCGGCUCAACUCGGAGACGCCACUCGAUACUGCCAUGACUCGAGUCCGGUAGGGGAGUGCGGAAUUCCUGGUGUAGCGGUGAAAUGCGCAGAUAUCAGGAGGAACACCGGUGGCGAAGGCGGCACUCUGGGCCGGUACUGACGCUGAGGAGCGAAAGCGUGGGGAGCAAACAGG
rnacentral:rRNA from 1 species